AACUGAUACUACCUGCGGGAACCUGCGGAAGGAUCAUUAUCGAGUUUACAACUCCCAAACCAUUGUGAAUCUUACCUUUUCGUUGCUUCGGCGGGAUCGCCCCGGGCGCUUCGGUGCCCCGGAUUCAGGCGCCCGCCGGGGGACCUAAACUCUUGUAUUAUAGUGGAUUUCUGAGUGGAUUACACAAAUAAUCAAAACUUUUAGCAAUGGAUCUCU
rnacentral:misc_RNA from 1 species